GAACGGGUGAGUAAUAUAUCGGAACGUACCCUAGAGUGGGGGAUAACGCAGCGAAAGUUGCGCUAAUACCGCAUACGAUCUACGGAUGAAAGUGGGGGAUCGCAAGACCUCAUGCUCAUGGAGCGGCCGAUAUCUGAUUAGCUAGUUGGUGGGGUAAAGGCCUACCAAGGCAUCGAUCAGUAGCUGGUCUGAGAGGACGACCAGCCACACUGGAACUGAGACACGGUCCAGACUCCUACGGGAGGCAGCAGUGGGGAAUUUUGGACAAUGGGGGCAACCCUGAUCCAGCAAUGCCGCGUGAGUGAAGAAGGCCUUCGGGUUGUAAAGCUCUUUUGUCAGGGAAGAAACGGUGAGGGCUAAUAUCCUUUGCUAAUGACGGUACCUGAAGAAUAAGCACCGGCUAACUACGUGCCAGCAGCCGCGGUAAUACGUAGGGUGCAAGCGUUAAUCGGAAUUACUGGGCGUAAAGCGUGCGCAGGCGGUUAUGUAAGUCAGAUGUGAAAUCCCCGGGCUCAACCUGGGAAUGGCAUUUGAGACUGCAUGGCUAGAGUGUGUCAGAGGGGGGUAGAAUUCCACGUGUAGCAGUGAAAUGCGUAGAGAUGUGGAGGAAUACCGAUGGCGAAGGCAGCCCCCUGGGAUAACACUGACGCUCAUGCACGAAAGCGUGGGGAGCAAACAGGAUUAGAUACCCUGGUAGUCCACGCCCUAAACGAUGUCUACUAGUUGUCGGGACUUAAUUGUCUUGGUAACGCAGCUAACGCGUGAAGUAGACCGCUUGGGGAGUACGGUCGCAAGAUUAAAACUCAAAGGAAUUGACGGGGA
rnacentral:rRNA from 1 species